GAUGAACGCUGGCGGCGUGCCUAAUACAUGCAAGUCGAGCGAACGGACGAGAAGCUUGCUUCUCUGAUGUUAGCGGCGGACGGGUGAGUAACACGUGGAUAACCUACUUAUUAGUCUGGGAUAACUUCGGGAAACCGGAGCUAAUACCGGCUAAUAUUUUGAACCGCAUGGUUCAAAAGUGCAUGACGGUUUUGCUGUCACUUAUAGAUGGUUUCGCGCUGCAUUAGCUAGUUGGUAAGGUAACGGCUUACCAAGGCAACGAUGCAUAGCCGACCUGAGAGGGUGAUCAGCCACACUGGAACUGAGACACGGUCCAGACUCCUACGGGAGGCAGCAGUAGGGAAUCUUGCGCAAUGGGCGAAAGCCUGACGCAGCAACGCCGCGUGAGUGAUGAAGGUCUUCGGGUCGUAAAACUCUGUUAUUAGGGAAGAAAAGAUGUAGAAGAAACUGUGCAUGUCUUGACGGUACCUAAUCAAAAAGCCACGGCUAACUACGUG
rnacentral:rRNA from 1 species